GAUGAACGCUGACAGAAUGCUUAACACAUGCAAGUCUACCAAGAAUCACUUCGGUGAGGAAUGGUGGCGGACGGGUGAGUAACGCGUAAAUAAUCUGCCCUUUAGACUGGGAUAUCCUUUGGAAACGAAGGUUAAUACCGGAUAUUAUGAGAUGGACGCAUGUUCAACUUAUGAAAGCUAAAUGCACUAGAGGAGGAGUUUGCGUCCCAUUAGCUAGUUGGUGAGGUAAAGGCUCACCAAGGCCACGAUGGGUAGCCGGCCUGAGAGGGUGAACGGCCACAAGGGAACUGAGACACGGUCCUUACUCCUACGGGAGGCAGCAGUGGGGAAUAUUGGACAAUGGACCAAAAGUCUGAUCCAGCAAUUCUGUGUGCACGAUGAAGUUUUUCGGAAUGUAAAGUGCUUUCAGUUGGGACGAAGUAAGUGACGGUACCAACAGAAGAAGCGACGGCUAAAUACGUGCCAGCAGCCGCGGUAA
rnacentral:rRNA from 1 species